ensembl:lncRNA
GGCGCGGGGCUGGCGCCAGGGGCCGGCGGCGCGGGGCCGGCGGGGGUCCACAGCUGGGGGUCGGCCUCCGAGGACAACCUGUCCUCCGCCCGCUGCAGCGUGGGCAGCACGUCGGAGGGGGCCCUGUUCACGGACCUGGAGCACCUCCACCCGUCGCUGGGGGCCCCCGAGGGCCCCGGGCCCGCCGGAGGUCUGCAGCGGGCCCCCGAGGAGACAGGCCGCCGGCCGGGCAGUCCGUUAUCUACCGACGGCAACGUGAGCGCCGCCGCGACCCACAGACGACCCCGCAAACACAAACCAGCCGCCGCCGGUCACCACGGUUACCCGCCGACUGCGGCCGCGUUCUACGACGACUCCUGCCUCGCGCCCCCAGACCCCCCGGGGCCCGCGGCCCUGGGCGGGGGCAGGGCCCGGGGGGCCACCCUGCCUCGGAUGGGCUCCGGGGAGCCCAGGGGCCGCAGGGGCAGCUCAGGGGCCCAAAGGACGCCGGCGUCAGGGGAGAGAGGAGGCGACAGGGGCCGACAGCAGCCAGACAAAGUUUCAACUGCCUUGUGAUUCUCUGUCUCCAGAGUACGGAGUCUUUCCAUCCCGAGCUCACUGUAUCCAUGGUGCCAAAGCAAUCUUUGUUUUUAAAAAAGAACAGUGUUUUUAUCUGAACAUGAACGCAUUUGAAUCAUCGUGAAAGUAUAAAAGAAAGGAAGUUAUUCGAUAAUCAGCUUCAUCAACUCCAUCAUUGUCAUACGAUAUGUUCACGCUUCAGCUUGUUUUGUUUUUGUGCCACGAGGGUGGAAAAGAAUAUCCGCAAAGAAAGGGGGAACAUUUUGCAAUUUGUAAACAGAUCUGUGCUCCAUUUUGUAUUUUAUUCAUCGCUGAGAAUGUAAUGGAAUCAGGGGAAGAACAAGUUUGUAAUCUCUGCUGCAUUAUUUAUAAUUAAAACUUUCUCAAAUGCAGUGUUUCUUGUGAGCGUUAUGUGUUUGAUGUUCAAUGUUUUAAAGCUUUUGUUGUGUUUCUGUUUGAUUGGUUUGAGGAUUGUAGCGAUGUGUUCAGUGUUCAGUAAUUCUGGAGUAAGG